UACGAAGGUCCCGAGCGUUGUUCGGAAUCACUGGGCGUAAAGGGCGCGUAGGCGGCGUGGUAAGUCAGAUGUGAAAUCCCGGGGCUCAACCCCGGAACUGCAUCCGAUACUGCCGUGCUAGAGGAUUGGAGAGGUAGCUGGAAUUCUUGGUGUAGCAGUGAAAUGCGUGGAGAUCAAGAGGAACACUCGUGGCGAAAGCGAGCUACUGGACAAUAUCUGACGCUGAGGCUCGAAGGCCAGGGUAGCGAAAGGG
rnacentral:rRNA from 1 species